rnacentral:rRNA from 1 species
CUACGGGGUGCAGCAGUGGGGAAUAUUGGACAAUGGACGCAAGUCUGACCCAGCCAUGCCGCGUGCAGGAUGACAGCCCUACGGGUUGUAAACUGCUUUUAUACGGGAAAAAACCCCUGCACGAGUUGCGGGGUUGAUGGUACCGUAAGAAUAAGCAUCGGCUAACUCCGUGCCAGCAGCCGCGGUAAUACGGAGGAUGCAAGCGUUAUCCGGAUUCAUUGGGUUUAAAGGGUGCGUAGGCGGAAUGAUAAGUCAGUGGUGAAAUCCUACAGCUUAACUGUAGAACUGCCAUUGAUACUGUUGUUCUUGAGUACAUUUGAAGUGGGCGGAAUGUGUCAUGUAGCGGUGAAAUGCAUAGAGAUGACACAGAACACCGAUCGCGAAGGCAGCUCACUAAACUGUAACUGACGCUGAGGCACGAAAGCGUGGGGAUCAAACAGGAUUAGAUACCCGUGUAGUC